rnacentral:rRNA from 1 species
UCAAGCUAUAAAGAGCGCAAGGGGAAUGCCUUGGCAUCAGGAGCCGAUGAAGGACGUGACAAGCUGCGAUAAGCUUCGGGGAGGAGCAAAUAUCCGUUGAUCCGGAGAUUUCCGAAUGGGGAAACCCACCAGAGCAAUACUCUGGUAUCGUGCGUUGAAUAAAAUAGGCGUACGAGGGGAACGCCCUGAACUGAAACAUCUAAGUAGGGGCAGGAAAAGACAUCAACCGAGAUUCCGCAAGUAGUGGCGAGCGAACGCGGAGGAGGCCAAACCGGAGGAUUUAUUCUCCGGGGUUAGGACUUGCAUCACGAUCAGAGGAGCUUAGAAGAACGGCAUGGGAAGGCCGGCCAUAGAGGGUGAGAGCCCCGUAUUUGAAAGAGAAGACUGACAGCCAGUAUCCAGAGUACCGCGGGACACGUGAAACCCCGUGGGAAGAUGGGUGGACCACCAUCCAAGCCUAAAUACUACCUGAUGACCGAUAGAGGAGCAGUACCGUGAGGGAAAGGUGAAAAGGACCCCGGGAGGGGAGUGAAAGAGAACCUGAAACCUUGUGCUUACAAGCACUCAAAGCACGUUAAAGUGUGAUGAGGUACUUUUUGUAGAACGGUCCGGCGAGUUAUAGUAACGAGCAAGCUUAAGGUAUUCAGUACCGGAGGCGAAGCGAGAGCGAGUCUGAAUAGGGCGUAAAAAGUUCGUUGCCAUAGACCCGAAACCGGGUGACCUAACCAUGAGCAGGCUGAAGUGAGAGUAAAAUCUCAUGGAGGGCCGAACGCACGUUCGUUGCAAUGACCGGCGAUGACUUGUGGUUAGCGGAGAAAUUCCAAUCGAACUCGGAGAUAGCUGGUUCUCCCCGAAAUAGCUUUAGGGCUAGCGUUAUUUUAGAUUACCGGAGGUAAAGCACUGAAUGGUCUAGGGGCCGCGAGGUUACCAAAGCCUAUCAAACUCUGAAUGCCGGAUAAUUGAUGAAUAGCAGUCAGACUGUGUGAGAUAAGUCUCAUAGUCAAAAGGGAAACAGCCCAGAUCUACAGCUAAGGUCCCAAAUGAACACUAAGUGGAAAAUGAUGUGAAACUGCGAAGACAACCAGGAUGUUGGCUUAGAAGCAGCCACUCAUUCAAAGAGUGCGUAAUAGCUCACUGGUCGAGAGAGGGUGCGCCGAAAAUUACCGGGGCUAAAACUUGUCACCGAAGUUUAGGAAUGUAAUUUAUUACAUUGGUAGAGGAGCAAUCUAUGCGGGCUGAAGCGGUAUCGAAAGGGGCCGUGGACUGCAUAGAAGAGAGAAUGCCGGCAUAAGUAGCGAGAGGGAAGUGAGAAUCUUCCCCGUCGAAUGCCUAAGGUUUCCUGGGGAAGGUUUGUCCCCCCAGGGUAAGUCGGGACCUAAGCCGAGGCCGAAAGGCGUAGGUGAUGGACAGCAGGUAGAUAUUCCUGCACCACCGAGCGACGUUUAAAUGAGGCAAUGACACAGUAGGAUAGUCAAUCCGCGGAGUUGGAUUUCUGCGGCCAAAUCGUGAGGCUUGCACGUAGUGAAGUACGCGUGCUUUAAGGCUGGGCGAUGAUGGGGAGUGAAAAUUAGUAACGAAGUUGAUGAAUUCACACUGGCGAGAAAAGUUGCUAAAUAUGUUGUUAGGUGCCCGUACCGCAUACCGACACAGGUGGGCGAGGAGAAAAUCCUAAGACGGACGGGAUAACCCUUGUUAAGGAACUCUGCAAAAUGACCCCGUAACUUCGGAAGAAGGGGAGCCUACGAAAGUAGGCCGCAGUGAAGAGGCCCAAGCAACUGUUUACCAAAAACACAGGUCUCUGCAAAAUCGUAAGAUGAUGUAUAGGGGCUGACGCCUGCCCAGUGCUGGAAGGUUAAGGGGAUGUGUUAGCGCAAGCGAAGCACGGAACUUAAGCCCCAGUGAACGGCGGCCGUAACUAUAACGGUCCUAAGGUAGCGAAAUUCCUUGUCAGGUAAGUUCUGACCCGCACGAAUGGCGUAAUGAUUUGGGCACUGUCUCAACAGCCCGCCCGGCGAAAUUGUAGUACUGGUGAAGAUGCCAGUUACCCGCAACUAGACGGAAAGACCCCAUGGAGCUUUACUGCAGUUUAAUACUGGGAAUCGGUAAUUCAUGUACAGGAUAGGUGGGAGACUGAGAAGCAUGGCCGUCAGGUCGUGUGGAGUCACCGGUGGGAUACCACUCUUGGAUUGCUGGUUUCCUAACCUGCGGCCCUGAAUCGGGUCGGGGGACACUGUUAGACGGGCAGUUUGACUGGGGCGGUCGCCUCCAAAAGAGUAACGGAGGCGCUCAAAGGUCAGCUCAGCAUGGAUGGAAACCAUGCAAGUGAGUGCAAACGCAAAAGCUGGCCUAACUGCGAGACUGACGGGUCGAGCAGUAACGAAAGUUGGAGUUAGUGAUCCGGUGGUAUGUGAGUGGAAAUGCCAUCGCUCAACGGAUAAAAGCUACCCUGGGGAUAACAGGCUGAUCUCCCCCAAGAGUCCACAUCGACGGGGAGGUUUGGCACCUCGAUGUCGGCUCAUCGCAUCCUGGGGCUGUAUUCGGUCCCAAGGGUUUGGCUGUUCGCCAAUUAAAGCGGCACGCGAGCUGGGUUCAGAACGUCGUGAGACAGUUCGGUCCCUAUCUGUUGCGGGCGUAAGAGAUUUGAAGGGAGCUGUCCUUAGUACGAGAGGACCGGGAUGGACGUACCUCUGGUGCACCAGUUGUCCUGCCAAGGGCAUAGCUGGGUAGCUAUGUACGGACGAGAUAAACGCUGAAAGCAUCUAAGCGUGAAACUCUCCCUAAGAUGAGAUCUCUCAUCCAUUAUGGAGUAAGGGCCCAGAAAGACGAUCUGGUUGAUAGGCCGGAGGUGGAAGCACGGUAACGUGUGCAGCUGACCGGUACUAAUAGCCCGAGGGCUUGACCUA